rnacentral:rRNA from 1 species
CAGCCGUAAACUAUGCUCGCUAGGUGUCAGGCAUGGCGCGACCGUGUCUGGUGCCGCAGGGAAGCCGUGAAGCGAGCCACCUGGGAAGUACGGCCGCAAGGCUGAAACUUAAAGGAAUUGGCGGGGGAGCACAACAACGGGUGGAGCCUGCGGUUUAAUUGGACUCAACGCCGGACAACUCACCGGGGACGACAGCAAUAGGUAGGCCAGGCUGAAGACCUUGCCUGAAUCGCUGAGAGGAGGUGCAUGGCGUAGACGUCU